GUCUGGCGGGUCUGCGUUACUGAGCGUUGGCUGGUCUGACCCCGGGUCCUCUGCCUCAGGUGAGGAGCUAGGCAAAGAAGUUCUCGGGAAGCACAAGGACCGGAGACUCCUAAGGCCACGGUGUGAACGCAUGAAUAGAAGAAGAAAAAUUUCUUCUUGCCUCAGUACUUGCUCUCCAGAAUUCAAGUUUUAUAUAUCCAUCAUGUCAAAAGUGCUUCUCUCGGAUAAUUUUAGUCUCCAAAAGGUCCAGUUGCCCAAAAUGUGGCUCUACUGGUGAAUCUGAAAAUACCAGUUACAGAUACAGACUUUCCUUAAAAGUUGCAGAAACAAACAAAUUGUUUGUUAUUACUGUAUUUGGA